AGGGGAUUUGCCGUGUUGUAUUUAUACUUGUCAAUUCAUUUUCAAUCAUUAGUUACAAUUCACUAAGCGGAUUGUACAGGUGGUUGGCAGAGUUGGGAUGAAUGGGAAGUGUGUGUUCUUCAUCAAUGGAGCCUGUGGGAGCUAUGAGUAAUAUAUGGGAUGCUGCAGAGGGAUCGUUGGACAGCUGCUCAGAGGAGGACUAUGACUGUCCCAUAUGUCAGGAUGUCCUGAAAACCCCCAUCAGGACCAGGAACUGCAGACAUGUGUUCUGUAAAAACUGCUUCCGCCUGGCUGUGAGGGCCCAGGGGCCACACUGUCCCCUGUGCAGGGGCCCCGUAUCGGAGACUGAAAAGAGAGCAAUAGAUGUCCAGCAGCAGAUGAGGGAGAGGAAAGGACAGUGCAGGGCCUGUGGU